CCCAACCUCCCGGGCUAGGUUUAUCUCUGUCCUAAAGGCCAAGCCGGUGGCCCUGGGGAGCAGAAGGGAGCUCAGAGCUGCUGGAGAAGGUGGGGGGUAGAAAUAAUAAUAAUGUCAGAGAUAAUCAUCGCAGUUAACGCUCAGCGACUGGGCUGCUCCGCGGAGGCCGGCGGAGGCCUACAGAGGCUCCUGACUGGCAGAACUGGAGGUGUGGGUGUGGUUCCCUUUUCACCCCGGCUCUUAUGUUGCCAGUCUCCCCCCUACCACCAGGCAAAGCCCCCCUAAACUUAGGGUCUGGAACAAGGCCGAGCCAGCGAGGGCCUGCCAGGAGCUGCGCUGGAGCCUCUCGCUGCAUCCAGAGCUGGUUCUUGUUCUUUUCUCUCUCUUGGCCCACUGGGCCCACAGUGGUUAGGUGGCCGAGUGUGGUUUCCCGAAACUCUUUGGAGUCGCCUGGGUCUGCGUGCCCCUGGCCCCGUCCUCACCCCCGGGCUCGUCCCCCAGCCUCCGCCGGCCCGCCUGUGAAUGGUGGAUUUAAUGAGCGUUUGUGUGGCGUUGGCCGGCGGUUCUGAAGAUGCGCUGACCUGGAGGGAGGGCGCGAAAGGUCAGGCGCAUGCCGGGCCCAACUUGGGCUCCUCCCAGGCCCACGCUGCUCCGAUAUUGAUCCUGGGAGAAAGAUAAACAGAAAAGCUGGACAUUCAGUCAUGAAUACUAAUGAGCCAGGGUAGGGGUUUUAAUUGCUGUGGACUUCCUUUCUCCAGUUAAUCCUUAUUGCAAACUUCGCUGGAGUCAGCUUUCUCGGGCCUCCCGCCUCCUUGUAUUUUCCUGUGAAAUACCCAGGCGAAAGAGACCCGUGACAACUUGACUUUCUCCUCUUCGAGAGGCCCGUGUGAGCUCGAGAGCCCACAGCCCGUGUUUCCAG
rnacentral:lncRNA from 1 species